AUUUAAAUAUUUAAAAAUUAUUUAAAAUUUAAUAAAUAAAUAAAAUUUUAAUAUGUAUAUAAAAUUAAAUAAAUUUUAAUUUAAAUUCCGGUACAAACAACGAAAACAAUAAUAAUUAAUUCAGUACCACUAAGCUGCGAAGUGUAAAGACGUGUGACUAACGACCAGUAGACAAAAAGAAAAAAACAAACCUUAUCAGUUAAAAAAACCAACAACUAUAAGCCAGUGAUAUACAAAAACAAAAAACACAAAAAACGAGAGCAAAAAGAGGAAAAAGAGAGGCAGAACAAAAAAAAGGGCAGGUGCCCAAAAACUAUUAAAAAAUGCCCCCCGACAUAAAUAGACUAUUUAAAACAUCCAACACAGAAUCGAAAUUCAUGACCAUAAAUAGAACAGACAAUAAUACAUUUAAAGGCCUGAACCCAUUCUUGAUUAAAAAAGUAAUAGACUACACGUGCAAUGGUGAAAUGGAGACAGUCAAAGUCACAAAAGUAGGAUCAUUAUUAGUCAAAACAAAAAACAACCUGCAAGCACUAAAACUAAAAAAAAUGACCACCUUCCACGACUUUCCUGUAAUAGUUAGCGAACACAAAACGCUCAACUUCUCCAAGGGAGUCAUAUACUCCAACGAUCUUCGCAACAUUGACGACGAAACUAUUUUGCAGGAACUUAAACCACAAAACGUCUCAGAAAUACGCAAAAUUAAAAAAAUUGAAAACAAUGAACCCAAAAAAACUUGACUGAUCAUCGUAACCUUCGCAUCAUUAACCCUCCCAGAAACAAUGAUGAUAGGAUAUGAGAGAGUAAAUAUACGCCCAUAUAUCCCUCUCCCAAUGAGAUGCAGAAACUGCCUUAGACUUGGACACCCCAUAAUCGCUUGCACAUCAAACAAAACCUGCAACAACUGCUCAGCCGAACAACACACAGCCAUAGACGAAAUAUGCUCCAACGACAAAUUCUGCAUUAAUUGUAAAUACAGUCUAACAAACAAUAAGCACAGCCCAUUAGACAAAUCUUGCCCUGAAUUUUUUAAACAAAAGGAAUUGACAUCUAUCAAAACAAUAGAAAAAGUGGAACACAAAACCGCUCUAAAUAUAUACCAUUCUCGACACAUCCACCAACCAACUUUAUACUCCACCGUUUCAACCGAAAAAUCUAACAUCCAAGCAUCAACAACCACCAAACCGCAAUCCAUUUCAUCCAAGCAUCUAAAAAAUUACAAGAACACUGCCAUCACUCCUGCAGUCACUAAACCUCAACAAAGAAACGCAACAACAUACGAUGAUCUCGACUCGCACAUGGACACCACCCCACCCACAGCAUCCACCUCCACAUUAGCUCCUAUUUCAUCACUAAACUCUUCCAUAUCGGAAGAACUUAAACUUAGAAUCUACACAAACAAACACAACACCCUCGCCAAAUCCUUAAAAUCUAAAGAGAAUAAUGAACAAAAACAAAAAAAAAAACAAUAAAAACAAGAACCAACUUAAUAGCGAAAGCGACGGCUCAUUGCAACAUCAUAAUGAACCAAUUAACGCCUUUGACUUUGACACAAUAGCAGUAACAAUAUAUUCAAAAAUUAAAAUCACCAUAACAUCUUCGUACAUACCACCCAACAAGAACUUCACAAUCCAAAACCUAAGAAACAUAUACGACAAUUUACAACCUCCCCUACUAAUAACUGGAGACUUCAAUAGCUGGCACAGAAGCUGGGGCUCAAUAAACAACAACAAAAGAGAUCUCGCAUUUGCUUCUCCCCCUCUGAAUCUGAACUCCAAAUGGCAUACAGAUAGCUCCCUGGCCUGUAGCGACCACUACCCAAUACACAUCGACCUAUUCGAAGAACACAACAUGAACAAUCCCACUGAAAGACCAAGAUUUAACCUUAAAAAAGCAAACUGGCCCCUAUUCAAGGAUAUCGCAGACAAGUUGUCAACUGACAAACCCCCUAGCUCAAAUAUUAAUAAAGAGCCGCCAAUAUAACCAGAAUAAUAAUUCUGGCCGCCAAUGAAGCCAUUCCCCAAUCACGCCACUCUAAGAGAAAGAGGAACGUCCCAUGGUGGGAUAAAACACUUCAACAAUUAAAAAACGAAUUGCCUGGAAUAUACUUAAGAGAAACAUCAACACUACAAACAUACUAACAUACAAAAAAGCCAACGCUAAACUUAAGCGGGAAAUAAAAAUUAGAAAAAAAAUUUCAAUGGAAAACUUCACAGCAGAAAUUAACCCAAAUUCUCCCAUCGGCGAAAUUUUGACUAAAAUUAACCGUUUCUGCGGCCUUAAAGCUAGGCACAACAUCCACUGUCUUACCAAUCCCAACGACCCAACACAAAGCAUACUAGAUCGAAAUGAAAUAGGUAACACCCUCUCCACCCACUGGUCCAAUACCUCACGAGACAACCAUUUCCAUGCAAUAUUCUUAGAAAGGAAAUCCAACCCGAUCCUUAACACACACAUCCCGUCACCUGCAGCUCUUAAAAUAGAAAAGGAUAUAACUUUCAUAGAACUCCUUGCAGCACUCAACCAACUAAAGGGGAAAACGCCGGGUAGCGACCGCAUAAGCUAUCCUAUGUUAAAAAACCUAUCCAAAACACUACAAAAUAGACUUCUGAAUCUAUUCAACAACAUACUCAAAUCACACAUCCCUCAGCAAUACAUGGCAAGCAGUAUAAUACCCAUUCCUAAAACAAACCUGAACAAAACCGACGUCAACUCAUACCGACCCAUCUCCUUCAACCCAUGCAUAUCAAAGGUCCUUGACAAAAUAAUAGCUAAACGGCUAUGGUGGCUAGCCACAAAUGGCAAGCUUCUAGAUAACCGUCAAAUGGGAUUUUGAAAGGGAAAAUCGGUUUCUGAUUCUCUAGCUAUGCUAGAUUAUCAGAUAACUACAUCUCUUUCAAGGAAAAACCAUACAUCGAUUAUCUCGCUAGACUUCGCCAAAGCAUUCGACAGGAUAGGCAUCCACAGCAUCAUUGACGAGCUCAAUGCUUGGAAAAUUGGCCCAAAGAUUUUAAGAUAUACAAAAAACUUCCUCACCAACGGAAAAAUUUCAGUUCUUGUAAACAAAUCUUACUCCAACCCCCAGCCACUAUACAACGGAAUACCGCAAGGAUCUCCAUUGUCAGUGAUACUCUUUGCAAUAGCCUUUAACCAACUCAACAAAAUACUAGCUACCCAC